UGCUUUUGACGGGUAACGGGGAAUUAGGGUUCGACUCCGGAGAGGGAGCCUGAGAAACGGCUACCACAUCCAAGGAAGGCAGCAGGCGCGCAAAUUACCCAAUCCCGAUACGGGGAGGUAGUGACAAGAAAUACCGAUUCAGGAUCUUAUUGGAUCUUGAGAUUGGAAUGAGUACAAUUCAAACCCAUUAACGAGGAACAACUAGAGGGCAAGUCUGGUGCCAGCAGCCGCGGUAAUUCCAGCUCUAGUAGCGUAUAUUAAAAUUGUUGCAGUUAAAACGCUCGUAGUUGAACUUUGGGCUUGGCUGGCUGGUCCGCCUCACCGCGUGCACUGGUCCGGCUGGGCCUUUCCUCUUGGGGAUCCACAUGCCCUUCACUUGGGUGUGUUGGGGAACCAGGACUUUUACUUUGAAAAAAUUAGGGUGUUCAAAGCAGGCAUUUGCUCGAAUACAUUAGCAUGGGAUAAUAGAAUAGGACGUGUGGUCUUAUUUUGUUGGUUUCUAGGACCGCCGUAAUGAUUGAUAGGGAUAGUUGGGGGCAUCG
rnacentral:rRNA from 1 species